GUGAUUUGAUGAAUUAUCACAUCUGAAAAAUCCACAAGGAGGGCAUCUGUGUGCAGAUCACUGCUUCUCUUAACCCAGUUGUCAGAUGGAUAGAUAUAUUUUCAUCACUGAAGAGUAAAUGGUGCUAAAGUGAGCCGUCCUAAAUUCCGUCAUGAUAUUUUCGUUUUGAAUGUUUUAAGAGCAAGCUUAUUAGAGCUACUACACCUUUCCUGCUCCCGGCGCUGCAGGGCGUCACUGGCCUUCCUAAGCUUGAGGACGUGUCCUUCCGUUCUCUGCCUCUGUCUUCACUCGGCAUCCUGCAUGUGGGACUGUCUCAGUGUCUCUUCUCCACUUCCUCAGGCAUCAGCCACAGUGGAUGAGCGCUUCCCCUUUUCCAGGGUGUUUAAAAAAUGGAUGAUGGGAGACCAGUGAAGUCUGAGUAAGGAUGUA